UACAGAGGGGGCAAGCGUUGUUCGGAAUUAUUGGGCGUAAAGGGCGCGUAGGCGGUGCGGUAAGUCACCUGUGAAAUCUCCUGGCUCAACUGGGAGCUUGCAGGCGAAACUGCCGUGCUGGAGUGUGGGAGAGGUGAGUGGAAUUCCCGGUGUAGCGGUGAAAUGCGUAGAUAUCAAGAGGGACACCAGUGGCGAAGGCGAGUCCCUGGACAACUUCUGACGCUGAGGCACGAAAGCUAGGGGAGCAAACAGG
rnacentral:rRNA from 1 species